rnacentral:lncRNA from 1 species
AUGAAAGUAGCUGAGAGCCUUCCGUCUUGGUUACCAGCUGGGAGAAAGGUGGAAAAAUGUGAUGAAUGCAGGAAGGGCCCGGGGAGGAUUCAGGAAGUUCCUGCCACAGUGGAUACAGCCUACUUCACGUUCUUCCCCAAGAGAUCCAGCUGCCACAUAGGUGCAGGAAGAUGGUGACCCAACCAUUACAGGUUUCCUGUUCCCCAUUUUGUUUCACCUACUGCCUUCACUAAGCAUUGCGGUUUCCCUUCUCUCCAUCCUGCCUUGCAGUUUAAUCCCAGCUCUUCGGGAUAUGCCUAGUGGUUAGACAUUCUUUCAUGUAUUCCAACUGAAUAAAGUGAGAAAAUCUGACGGCUUUUUCAGACACUUAUAUCAGAGACUGAGUUUCUGAACUUUGGACAGCCCAAUAAAUAUCUAAAAAUUUUUAAUAAUGAUUUUCCCUGAAGACGGCAAAAGUUGGAUUUUGUUUAGUUAUAUCGUCAAUAAAUUGCAUUAUUAAAAAAUAUAUAAAAUUAAAUCAAAAUACAGCAUAAAAGUUCAGUUAGUAGAAUAGUUGAUGUCAGGACUUUCCUGGUAAAACCAUAAAUUGUAACUACAUUAAUAUAGAAUUAAAGAAAAAUGAUGUAGAAUAAAAGACACUCUUGUAUGUCUUCCCUAAACUAGAGGGAACAAUAUGGAAUUUGUGACAAAAUGAGGCUUACUUUGUUUAUCCAAAUAUAUUGAAGGAGAAGACAGGGCCUAAGACUCUUGUAUGUUUCAGAGAAGGGUAAUUACAGGGUCUAUACAUUUUGCUUAAUGCUAAAACCAGCUUCACAAUGUCAAGCCAAGCACAUGGAUGCCAAUAGAAAUUCAAUAAAUAAGUACUGAUUGUACAUUACUAUUAAUAUUAUUACAUGAAUAUAAAGCUUAGUGCUUAUCUUAAAAAUAUUUCUUACUUGUCAAUCUCAUAAAAAAAUUCAUGGUGAACACAUGCUGUUUUACUAAAUCUAGAAAAAUAAAACAAUGAAGUUGUAGCAUCAUUUCUUAUAUAUUUGCACAAACAUUUAAUCAUUUAGGUCAGUGAUUCUCAAACUGGAGAGUGACACAGAAUCAUUAUUUACUGAAUUAGAAUCUCUGGGGUUACUUUGUAGCCCUAGCAUUUCUACUUUUUUUUUUUGCAGUACCAGGGAUUGAACUCAGGACCCUGUGCUUGCGAGGCAGGCAAGGUGCCACUGAGCGAAGUCCUUGGCCCUCUACUUUUUAAAAAUCAACUUUACAGGAGGGGUAGGGGAAAGGAAAGAAGGGAAUGGAAAUAAUAUGAGAAAAUGAAAAAAUGGAAACAAAGUCUUUGUAGAUAGAGAGGGGUGGAGGGGUUGAAGGGAGGGCAGGGGAAGGGGGAAAAAUAAGAACCAGGAGAGAUUAUGUAAAGGUACAA